rnacentral:rRNA from 1 species
AUUGAACGCUGGCGGCAGGCUUAACACAUGCAAGUCGAUCGGGGUGAUGGUGCUUGCACAAUCACUUAGCGGCGGACGGGUGAGUAAUGCUUAGGAAUCUGCCUAUUAGUGGGGGACAACAUCUCGAAAGGGAUGCUAAUACCGCAUACGUCCUACGGGAGAAAGCGGGGGAUCACUUGUGACCUUGCGCUAAUAGAUGAGCCUAAGUCGGAUUAGCUAGUUGGUGGGGUAAAGGCCUACCAAGGCGACGAUCUGUAGCGGGUCUGAGAGGAUGAUCCGCCACACUGGGACUGAGACACGGCCCAGACUCCUACGGGAGGCAGCAGUGGGGAAUAUUGGACAAUGGGGGGAACCCUGAUCCAGCCAUGCCGCGUGCGUGAAGAAGGCCUUAUGGUUGUAAAGCACUUUAAGCGAGGAGGAGGCUCUCUUGGUUAAUACCCAAGAUGAGUGGACGUUACUCGCAGAAUAAGCACCGGCUAACUCUGUGCCAGCAGCCGCAGUAA